GACGAACGCUGGCGGCGCGCUUAACACAUGCAAGUCGAACGGAAAGGCCUGCUUUCCCUUGUGGAUUGCGGGUACUCGAGUGGCGAACGGGUGAGUAACACGUGAGUGAUCUGCCCCCAACUUGGGUAUAAGCCUGGGAAACUGGGUCUAAUUCCCGACAGGACUGCAGGGUGGUGCCUGUGGUGGAAAACGAUUUUCUAGUGGUUGGGGAUGAGCUCGCGGCCUAUCAGCUUGUUGGUGGGGUAAUGGCCUACCAAGGCGGCGACGGGUAGCCGGCCUGAGAGGGUGGACGGCCACAUUGGGACUGAGAUACGGCCCAGACUCCUACGGGAGGCAGCAGUGGGGAAUAUUGCACAAUGGGCGGAAGCCUGAUGCAGCGACGCCGCGUGGGGGAUGACGGCCUUCGGGUUGUAAACUCCUUUCGACCGCGAGGAAGCCACCUGGUUGGAAGGGUGGUGACGGUAGUGGUAGAAGAAGCACCGGCUAACUACGUG
rnacentral:rRNA from 1 species